rnacentral:sRNA from 14 species
UAUAUUCCUCGUUAGGUGAGGCUCCUGUGCAGGAGAUACGCUGCUACCCAAAAAUGUCCAAAGACGCCAAUGGGUCAACAGAAACCAUCGACAUAAGGUGGUUUUUAAUGUAGCUGGCAAUAGCCUAUGCCGCACAGUGCUAAAGCUCUACGAAUGGAGGCUAUUU